GGGUCAGUAGGUUGGUCGUGCCACCGGUACGUACUGGUCUCACCGAUUCCUCCUUCCUGAAGAACCGUAAUGCCAUUAAUUUGGUGUUGCGGGGAAACAGGACUGUUACUUUGAAAAAAUUAGAGCGUUUAAAGCAAGCUAACGCUUGAAUACAUUAGCAUGGAAUAAUGAAAUAGGACGAUCGAUCCUAUUUUGUUGGUUUCUAGGAUUGACGUA
rnacentral:rRNA from 1 species